ensembl:lncRNA
CCCCCCCCCCGCCCCGCUCUGGGACAUUCAGCUCCCUGUGAAGUCUAGACACCAAGGGACGUGUUACAAAGAAGCCCUAGUAUUGUUCUGGAGAGACAGCGUUCACACCGUCGGCAUGGUUACCAGCUUGAGCAGGAGGGGCCGCCCGCCCACAGAUUCGUGUCACCUAGAUAGAAUUUUCAAUUUUAUUUUUCUCCCGAAUGCAAGCCUCCUGCCGCUUGAGUGACCUGGCUGAUUCCAAGCCAGGGUUGAUACCACCACCAGAAGCAGCAGCAGCAGCUCUCGCUGUUAAUUGCUGGCUCUCUGCCUGCCUUGGGGAUAAACACUUGACCCCCCUGGACCAGCUCCCCAAGUCCUCACAUCAUAUGCAUGAGGAAAAGGAGACCUGGAGCAGUGAGGUGCUUGCUCAGUGGUCAAGGCAGUCACCCUCGGCCUCCUUCCCAACGCCCACUCUCUGCCAACUGGCCCUUUUGCAGAUACCAACUUCCACCUGCUGUGUCUAAGGUCAGAUUUCAGGAUUUGAGUGCACAGAUUUCAGGAUCAGCCAGAGUAUCCUGCUGCCCUUUGAAAGCCCUCUUUGGGAGCAGAUCGGCUUCCAUGGCAGCUUUUGGCAUGAAGAAGUGUGAAAAUGUCCUGGUAGCCGCAGUCUGUGGGCUGGUGGGGAGCUUGGAGCCCCGUUCUCAGCAACCCCCAUCCCCUUCCCCCACAAGCUUUUUCAGCGGAGCUUGGCUCUGGGGAAGAAGGCCAAGCUGUCGCCUAUAGAAUCAUAGUUAAAAUGAGAGCGAAAAAGGCUUCUGCUUCAGUUCUACAGAUGGUCAAGGAGCUUGUGUUUCUUAGCCAGAAUUUUCUAGAUCCUUUGGCUGGAACCAUCCGGAUAAUUGCCUUCUGUGUGGUUCUCAGGAGGUGGGCCCAGGUGGGAGAGGCUGCGGUGGUCCAGGGAAAGUUGGAGUGUGGUGACUUCCCUUCUCAGAGCCUUGGACUUCCUGGCUAUGAAAUGGGAGGCCGUGCUGGCAGAUGGCAGGGUUCUGUCUUGUUUCCAGCUCUGAAGGUCUAGGGUGUGGCACCACUAGAAGUUCCAUAAGUGAUGUGGCAGCUCAAGAGGAUGAAGAAGCGAUGCCUCAAAGGCCAGGGUCUGGCCCGCAUCCACACAGGGAGUGGGAGAGGGUGGCCGGACCUACUCCUCAGCAGGCCAUGGGCAGCGGGUGGCCAGUCAGCUCCCACUCAGUCAAGCAUCAGGGUCUUUUCCAGUGAAUCAGUUCUUUGCAUCAGAUGGCCAAAGUAUUGGAGCUUCAGCUUCAGCAACAGUCCUUCCAAUGAAUAUUCAGAGUUCAUUUCCUUUAGGAUUGACUGAUUUGAUCUCCUUGCAAUUCAAAAGACUCUCAAGAGUCCUCUCCAGCACCAUAAUUUGAAAGCAGGAAUUCUUCGGCGCCCAGCCUUUCUUAUGGUUCAGCUCUCACAUCCGUGCAUGACUACUGGAGAAACAUGAACUUCGGUAUUUCCGUUCCGAUUUUACAGAGGAAGAAGCUGAGGCCCAGGAGGUUAAGACUGUCCCACUGCAGCGCAGGGAGCAAGGAGCGGGAACCCGGAUCCUGACCCACUCUACCACCAUCACCAUCCUUCCCGUGCCUGCCCUGACCUUGUGAGCACCUGAAAAGUUCUUUCGGUUGUUGAGCUGUGCACGUAACUAUCAUUAACUGCUGCUUGAACCAUAAUCUUGGAAGUGAGGGUGAGAGCUGAUAAGUUU